rnacentral:rRNA from 1 species
CCUACGGGAGGCAGCAGUGAGGAAUAUUGGUCAAUGGGCGGGAGCCUGAACCAGCCAAGUCGCGUGAGGGAAGACGGUCCUAUGGAUUGUAAACCUCUUUAGGCGGGGAGCAAUGCCGGGCACGCGUGCCUGGAGGGAGAGUACCCGCAGAAUAAGCAUCGGCAAACUCCGUGCCAGCAGCCGCGGUAAUACGGGGGAUGCGAGCGUUACCCGGUUUUAUUGGGUUUAAAGGGUGCGUAGGCGGAGUUUUAAGUCAGCGGUAAAAUGUCCGGGUCCAACCCGGGCCGGCCGUUGAAACUGGGGAUCUAGAGAGGACGUGAAGUAGGCGGAAUGUGUGGUGUAGCGGUGAAAUGCAUAGAUAUCACACAGAACUCCGAUUGCGAAGGCAGCGUACCGGCGCCCGACUGACGCUGAGGCACGAAAGCGUGGGGAUCGAACAGGAUUAGAUACCCUUGUAGUC